UACGUAGGGGGCAAGCGUUGUCCGGAAUCAUUGGGCGUAAAGAGCGUGUAGGCGGCCCGAUAAGUCCGCUGUGAAAGUCCAGGGCUCAACCCUGGGAUGCCGGUGGAUACUGUCGGGCUCGAGUCCGGAAGAGGUGAGUGGAAUUUCCGGUGUAGCGGUGAAAUGCGUAGAUAUCGGAAGGAACACCUGUGGCGAAAGCGGCUCACUGGACCAUAACUGACGCUGAGGCGCGAAAGCUAGGGGAGCAAACAGG
rnacentral:rRNA from 1 species